rnacentral:rRNA from 1 species
CCUACGGGAGGCUGCAGUGAGGAAUAUUGGUCAAUGGACGAGAGUCUGAACCAGCCAAGUAGCGUGAAGGAUGACUGCCCUAUGGGUUGUAAACUUCUUUUAUAUGGGAAUAAAACGUUCCACGUGUGGGAUUUUGUAUGUACCAUAUGAAUAAGGAUCGGCUAACUCCGUGCCAGCAGCCGCGGUAAUACGGAGGAUCCGAGCGUUAUCCGGAUUUAUUGGGUUUAAAGGGAGCGUAGGUGGAUUGUUAAGUCAGUUGUGAAAGUUUGCGGCUCAACCGUAAAAUUGCAAUUGAAACUGGCAGUCUUGAGUACAGUAGAGGUGGGCGGAAUUCGUGGUGUAGCGGUGAAAUGCUUAGAUAUCACGAAGAACUCCGAUUGCGAAGGCAGUUCACUGGACUGCAACUGACACUGAGGCUCGAAAGUGUGGGUAUCAAACAGGAUUAGAUACCCCAGUAGUC